rnacentral:rRNA from 1 species
UGGGGAAUAUUGGGCAAUGGGGGCAACCCUGACCCAGCAACGCCGCGUGAAGGAAGAAGGCUUUCGGGUUGUAAACUUCUUUUACCAGGGACGAAGAACGUGACGGUACCUGGAGAAAAAGCCACGGCUAACUACGUGCCAGCAGCCGCGGUAAUACGUAGGUGGCAAGCGUUGUCCGGAUUUACUGGGUGUAAAGGGCGUGUAGGCGGAGCAGCAAGUCAGAAGUGAAAUCUCUGGGCUCAACCCAGAAACUGCUUUUGAAACUGUUGCCCUUGAGUAUCGGAGAGGCAGGCGGAAUUCCUAGUGUAGCGGUGAAAUGCGUAGAUAUUAGGAGGAACACCAGUGGCGAAGGCGGCCUGCUGGACGACAACUGACGCUGAGGCGCGAAAGCGUGGGGAGCAAACAGG